rnacentral:rRNA from 1 species
CCUACGGGAGGCAGCAGUGGGGGAUAUUGCACAAUGGGGGAAACCCUGAUGCAGCGACGCCGCGUGUGGGAAGACGGUCCUCUGGAUUGUAAACCACUGUCCCCAGGGACGAAGAUGACGGUACCUGGGGAGGAAGCUACGGCUAACUACGUGCCAGCAGCAGCGGUAAUACGUAGGGAGCAAGCGUUGUCCGGAAUUACUGGGUGUAAAGGGAGCGUAGGCGGGAUGGCAAGUUGGGUGUUAAAUCUACCGGCUCAACUGGGAGUCGCACUCAAAACUGCGAUUCUUGAGUGAAGUAGAGGCAGGCGGAAUUCGUGGUGUAGCGGUGAAAUGCGUAGAUAUUAGGAAGAACACCAGUGGCGAAGGCAGCCUGCUGGGCUUUUACUGACGCUGAGGCUCGAAAGUGUGGGGAGCGAACAGGAUUAGAUACCCUAGUAGUC